GACGAACGCUGGCGGCGUGCUUAACACAUGCAAGUCGAACGGAAAGGCCCUUCGGGGUACUCGAGUGGCGAACGGGUGAGUAACACGUGGGUGAUCUGCCCUGCACUUUGGGAUAAGCCUGGGAAACUGGGUCUAAUACCGAAUAUGAUCAUCAGCUUCAUGGUUGGUGGUGGAAAGCUUUUGCGGUGUGGGAUGGGCCCGCGGCCUAUCAGCUUGUUGGUGGGGUAAUGGCCUACCAAGGCGACGACGGGUAGCCGGCCUGAGAGGGUGACCGGCCACACUGGAACUGAGAUACGGCCCAGACUCCUACGGGAGGCAGCAGUGGGGAAUAUUGCACAAUGGGCGCAAGCCUGAUGCAGCGACGCCGCGUGAGGGAUGACGGCCUUCGGGUUGUAAACCUCUUUCAGCACAGACGAAGCGCAAGUGACGGUAUGUGCAGAAGAAGGACCGGCCAACUACGUGCCAGCCGCCGCCGUAA
rnacentral:rRNA from 1 species